UACGGUGGGGGCAAGCGUUGUUCGGAAUUACUGGGCGUAAAGGGCUCGUAGGCGGCCAACUAAGUCGGAUGUGAAAUCCCCAGGCUCAACCUGGGAACUGCAUCCGAUACUGGAUGGCUUGAAUCCGGGAGAGGGAUGCAGAAUUCCAGGUGUAGCGGUGAAAUGCGUAGAUAUCUGGAGGAACACCGGUGGCGAAGGCGGCAUCCUGGACCAAUUCUGACACUGAGGAGCGAAAGCCAGGGGAGCAAACGGG
rnacentral:rRNA from 1 species